rnacentral:lncRNA from 1 species
UGCUCCUUUGAUCCUUCCUUCAAGAAUGUCUUGAAGAUGUAUGACACCACAAGAAUACUUCACAAGGCUUAAACAAUAUGUGAAUUGACCCAAAACAAUAAUAAUAUGACAAUGAUCAAAAUGGUAUAUGGUUUUUCACAAUUAUUUGCAAGACAACAAUGGUGUUUUUGCUCUUGAUUCAAUGGAAGGAAGAAGAGUUUGUCUUGCAAUAAUGUGGGAACCAUAACACCCACUU